rnacentral:rRNA from 1 species
GACGAACGCUGGCGGCGUGCUUAACACAUGCAAGUCGAACGGAAAGGCCCUGCUUUUGUGGGGUGCUCGAGUGGCGAACGGGUGAGUAGCACGUGAGUAACCUGCCCUUGACUUUGGGAUAACUUCAGGAAACUGGGGCUAAUACCGGAUAGGAGCUCCUGCUGCAUGGUGGGGGUUGGAAAGUUUCGGCGGUUGGGGAUGGACUCGCGGCUUAUCAGCUUGUUGGUGGGGUAGUGGCUUACCAAGGCUUUGACGGGUAGCCGGCCUGAGAGGGUGACCGGCCACAUUGGGACUGAGAUACGGCCCAGACUCCUACGGGAGGCAGCAGUGGGGAAUAUUGCACAAUGGGCGGAAGCCUGAUGCAGCAACGCCGCGUGCGGGAUGACGGCCUUCGGGCUGUAAACCGCUUUCGCCUGUGACGAAGCGUGAGUGACGGUAAUGGGUAAAGAAGCACCGGCUAACUACGUG